UACGGAGGAUCCGAGCGUUAUCCGGAUUUAUUGGGUUUAAAGGGUGCGUAGGUGGAUUGGUAAGUCAGUGGUGAAAGUUUGCAGCUUAACUGUAAAAGUGCCGUUGAUACUGCAUGGCUAGGAUUUGGUUGCUGUGGGUGGAAUGUGUGGUGUAGCGGUGAAAUGCUUAGAUAUCACACAGAAUAUCAAUUGCGAAGGCAGCUCACAAAGCCAAGAUUGACGCUGAGGCACGAAAGUGUGGGGAUCAAACAGGA
rnacentral:rRNA from 1 species